rnacentral:rRNA from 1 species
GACGAACGCUGGCGGCGUGCUUAACACAUGCAAGUCGAACGGAAAGGCCCUGCUUUUGUGGGGUGCUCGAGUGGCGAACGGGUGAGUAACACGUGAGUAACCUGCCCUUGACUUUGGGAUAACUUCAGGAAACUGGGGCUAAUACCGGAUAGGAGCUCCUGCUGCAUGGUGGGGGUUGGAAAGUUUCGGCGGUUGGGGAUGGACGCGCGGCUUAUCAGCUUGUUGGUGGGGUAGUGGCUUACCAAGGCUUUGACGGGUAGCCGGCCUGAGAGGGUGACCGGCCACAUUGGGACUGAGAUACGGCCCAGACUCCUACGGUAGGCAGCAGUGGGGAAUAUUGCACAAUGGGCGGAAGCCUGAUGCAGCAACGCCGCGUGCGUGAUGACGGCCUUCGGGUUGUAAACCGCUUUCGCCUGUGACGAAGCGUGAGUGACGGUAAUGGGUAAAGAAGCACCGGCUAACUACGUG